GCUCCCUCAAGGGAAAGCAAGGACACUGAAUGGGUCAGGCUCCAAUUUCAACCCCUUCUUAUGGAGCUCAUCUUACGUUUAUAGACCAACCCAAAUCCCAGCAUGGAAGAAAUAAAGAUAACAGCAACAAAGAAGAUUUGGAAGAGAAAACAAGCUGCCCUUAUUGCUCCAGCUUUUAUUCAAGAUUCCCCCCUUUUUUUGGGUUGGGGAUAUGGAGAGAGUUUUAAUCACAUUUUUAUCUGUUGUGGUUGUACUAAUUAGGAUCUAAACACAGAACAUAUUCAGGAUCCAAAAACGGGAUGUGUAAUAUUGAAUAAUGGCUAUCUCCUUUCUACCUUGUUGUUCCAAUCUUUGUACCAAUCUAAGGUGGAGGAGCUAGGUGGGACAGUGAAUAGAGCACAGGGCUUGAAAUCAGGAAGAUUCAUUUUCAUGAAUUCAAACUAGGAUCUAAAUACAGCACAUAUUCAGGAUCC
rnacentral:lncRNA from 1 species